AUGUUUACAUGCCUUCAUGAAGCUGUACAGCAAGAUCAUAUGGAAUUCGUCGAAUUUAUCCUGGAAGCAGAGACAACACAACUCCGGAAAGUCGUCAACAUGCAAGACAUUGAUGGAAAAACCGCUCUACAUCACGCGGUCCAGAAGUGCAAUCCUAAGAUGGUUGCUGCUUUACUGUCCCGCAAGGAUAUAGACAAGACAGUGAUUGACAAAUUUUCUGGUUCAGCAGUCCGGGAACUGUCGAACAACAUGCAUCAUGUCAAGACUGUGAACUGGAACGAAGUAAUCAUGCGUAUGUCGGAAGCUGAUCCACAUGAUGCUACCGCUCUUCAUAACCUCUACGUGGAAGACAAGCAACUGGCAAUUUAUGAAUCAAGGAAGAAUGUGAAGUCACUAACUAAAACAUACACAACCAAUACCUCGUUAGUGGCGAUCCUCAUUACGACAAUCACCUUUGCCGCUGCUUUCACUCUGCCUGGAGGAUAUAGCAGUGCUCGUGAUAGCGAGGGGCUUCCUGUCAUGACUCGAAGGUUGCAUUUAUGGCAUUCUUGA
rnacentral:rRNA from 1 species